rnacentral:misc_RNA from 1 species
AAAAAAAAAAAAAAAAAGAAGGAUUAAAAUGGGAUUAAGCUAGAACAGCAUUAUUGAUGCGAAGAGCAGAAACGAUAAGGAAACACUAAGAGCUAGUUAACCUCAGAAACUAUGAAAAUCAUUGAGCUAAAGCAAAUCCCAGAAACUAUGAAGAGAGGCAUACAACUUGCAAAGCUGAAAAUUAAAGAAGCAAGGCAUAAAAGGGUUAAAAAAUAAUAAGAAGAAGAAAUCCAAGCACAAGUAUAACCAGGAAAAGCAACAGAGAUAGAUGAAUGGAAAGGAAGGAAGAGGAGCUAAGAAA